GACGAACGCUGGCGGCGUGCCUAAUACAUGCAAGUAGGACGCAGUUGCGAACGGGUGAGUGACGCGUAGGUAACUACCUAUUAGAGGGGGGUAACUCUUGGAGACGAUAGCUAAUACCGCAUACUAGUAGAUGGAUCUGCGUUGUAUUAGCUAGUAGGUAGGGUAAUGGCCUACCUAGGCAAAGUUACAUAGCCGAACUGAGAGGGGGAUCGGGCAAACGGGGACGUGGACAACGCCCAGACUCCUACGGGAGGCAGGAGUAGGGAAGCUUCGGCAAUGGGGCGAACCCUGACCGGGCAACGCCGCGGGAGUGAAGAAGGUUUUCGGAUCGUAAAGCUCUGUUGUUAAGGAAGCGGUACUUAACCAGAAAGGGACGGCUAACUACGUGCCAGCAGCCGCGGUAAUAC
rnacentral:rRNA from 1 species